rnacentral:rRNA from 1 species
AGAGUUUGAUCCUGGCUCAGAUUGAACGCUGGCGGCAGGCCUAAUACAUGCAAGUCGAGCGGCAGCGGGAAAGUAGCUUGCUACUUUUGCCGGCGAGCGGCGGACGGGUGAGUAAUGCCUGGGGAUCUGCCCAGUCGAGGGGGAUAACAGUUGGAAACGACUGCUAAUACCGCAUACGCCCUACGGGGGAAAGGAGGGGACCUUCGGGCCUUUCGCGAUUGGAUGAACCCAAGUGGGAUUAGCUAGUUGGUGGGGUAAUGGCUCACCAAGGCGACGAUCCCUAGCUGGUCUGAGAGGAUGAUCAGCCACACUGGAACUGAGACACGGUCCAGACUCCUACGGGAGGCAGCAGUGGGGAAUAUUGCACAAUGGGGGAAACCCUGAUGCAGCCAUGCCGCGUGUGUGAAGAAGGCCUUCGGGUUGUAAAGCACUUUCAGCGAGGAGGAAAGGUUGGCAGCUAAUAUCUGUCAGCUGUGACGUUACUCGCAGAAGAAGCACCGGCUAACUCCGUGCCAGCAGCCGCG